ensembl:lncRNA
AAGGAGUCCAAAGGGCAUAUCAUAGCCUAUAAAUAUCCUUAGAUGUUAGGCUGGUGAUAACUCUAUAAUUCUCCUCUUCCAAAGCUGUGUGUAUGCUCUAUAUUUAUCCUCGACCAACCCGGACCAGGUAAAGAGGGCGCUAACUCUUAGCCUGCUGGCUGGUGAUGCGCCGUGCACAUUUAUCUCUUUCAGCAGGCCCGUUGGAACAACGCUGAGCCUCUCUAGAGAGCCGUAGAGCUAGUACACAUUGUUUAGCCCGAACCUGACCUCAGCACUGUAAACAACCUGCAGAGAUCGAUAGAGAGGCAGUGAAGGGUAGAGAGAGAGGUAGAGCGAGAGGGAUGGGAGGAGGGGGGAGAGAGGGGGAGGGACUGGAGGGAAGAGAAAAGAGUGCGAGAAUAGGGAGGGAGAACGAGACAGGGGGAGUGAAGGUAGAGGAAGAGGGAGAGAGUGAUGGGACGGGGAAAGAGAGAGAGAGAUAUGAGCUCAAUUGAUGGGAAGGGAGAGAAGGCGAGAUAAUGGAGAAAAAGAGAGAGGGACAGACUCAAGGGAAAGGAGAGAGAGAAACAGAGACUGAAGCCAAAGGAGAAAAAAGAGAAGGGUUAAAAUAAAGAGAGAGCCGGUAGAUAAGGGACAGGGGGCGAGGGAAGGGAGAGGAAAGAAGAGAGAUAUAACAGAAAGAGGGCUGGAGUGUAGGGAAGGGAAAGAGAGGGUGGGACGGAGAGAGGAAGACAUAGCAGGAAGGGGAGCGUGGGUGGGUGGGUGGAGGAAGGGGAGCAGACAUCAUAUCUCUUCAGCCCCUCGGUGACCAGACGGUGGGAAGAUGAGUUUGUCCCGUUAGGAAGCGGCGGAAAGUAAUUGUGACAAACCUUUAUGGUGCUGCUCUAGAGCUAACUGAGGAUCUACGAUACACUUAAGAGAACCGCUUACUUUUCCCUCGCUUGUAGCGUUCUACUUUUAUCGUGGUAAAGUUACAUCAAUACAACGAAAGGUGUAAAGCAUGGAGGACAUGGACUUCGAGAGGCGCCGGGAGCUCAGACGGCAGAAGCGUGAGGAGAUGCGCCUGGAAGCUGAACGAUAGGGCCUGUCUGUCUGUCUGUCUGUCUGUCUGUCUGUCUGUCUGUCUGUCUGUCUGUCUGUCUGUCUGUCUGUCUGUCUCUGUCUGUCUGUCUGUCUCUGUCUCUCUGUCUCUCUCUCUCUCUCUCUCUCUCUCUCUCUCUCUCUCUCUCUCUCUCUCUCUCUCUCUCUCUCUCUGCCUGUCUGCCUCCCUUUGUCUGUCUGCCUCCCUUUGUCUGUCUGUCUGUCUGCCUCUCUUUGUCUCUCUGUCUGUCUGUCUGUCUGCAUAAGUUUGUCCAUUUUUAAAUUUUCAUUCAUUUUCUUGACUGACUCUCUGCCUGUCUAUAGACAAACAACAGCUAAUACACUUCAAUAAUACAUACAUCUUCCCUCGUUACGUCCCAUAAAGUCCAUUGUAGUUCUUAUCCCUAUCCUUGACAGUGGUAUAUCUAUCUAAGUGUAGUAUUCGUUUCGUCCAGAGAGGGCGCCAUUGUGCUCGUACUCCAGGGUCACGUGGCUCCAGUGUUCUGUGGUUUGUUACAGUACACCUCCUGUCAGAUGUCCUCACCCGGCUGGAACCAGAGACCAUUAAUGCAGCACUUUAAGAGCUUGUAGAGCCUCCGCUGACCCUAUAAAGAAU